GACGAACGCUGGCGGCGUGCUUAACACAUGCAAGUCGAACGGAAAGGCCCAGCUUGCUGGGUGCUCGAGUGGCGAACGGGUGAGUAACACGUGGGUGAUCUGCCCCUAACUUCGGGAUAAGCUUGGGAAACUGGGUCUAAUACCGGAUAGGACAAUCGUUUAGUGUCGGUUGUGGAAAGUUUUUUCGGUUUGGGAUGGGCCCGCGGCCUAUCAGCUUGUUGGUGGGGUAAUGGCCUACCAAGGCGUCGACGGGUAGCCGGCCUGAGAGGGUGGACGGCCACAUUGGGACUGAGAUACGGCCCAGACGCCAACGGGAGGCAGCAGUGGGGAAUAUUGCACAAUGGGAGCAAGCCUGAUGCAGCGACGCCGCGUGGGGGAUGACGGCCUUCGGGUUGUAAACCUCUUUCGACAGGGACGAAGCUUUGGUGACGGUACCUGUAUAAGAAGCACCGGCUAACUACGUG
rnacentral:rRNA from 1 species